CGCUGGUCCCCGCGCUCGCUCUCUCCCGCUCUGGACGGUUAUUCAGACUCCGCUCACGGAGAGACGGGGCUGCCGAGGCCCGGGCAGGAGUUCACCUUGGCGUGGGGGAGACGGCCAGGGCCAGCCCCCGCCCCCGCAGCCCCCUGGUGCUCAGCCGCUCCCCUCUGCGGGCGCGAGGACACUGGAAGCCCCGCAUCUAAGCACCCGGGGCUCUACCCAGGGACUGAGCAGGAGGAAGCGGAGAAAGCAUUUGGAGAGUGAACGAGCUCCCUCCUCACUUAGCAGAAGGGCCCGUAAUGGAGGCCCUAGUGAAAGGGCUUUAGCUCUAUCUCGUUACUUUUUGCAAGCAGGAGAUAUCAAGAAAGCAAACAUAGUAGCUAUCGCCUGGGUUUACAAGGAAAGUGAUGCACCGGCCAUAAAAAUGAGUCCCCAGGAUGAAACACCCUGCUAGUAAAGAGAAAGACUGGUUUUUAGGUCUGCACAAGGGAAUGCACCAAAAUAAGAAGAGAAAAUCAGAGUUGUUUGAAGAGUGAGAAAGAUUUGAAAAUACCCAAGCUCCUGGAGGGGGCUAUGUGCCCAGGAUGUGGGCUUCUAGCAGUUAAGACGGACUCUGGGUUGACAGCCAGCAAGAAGUGGGAAUUUUAGUCCUUCAAUCACAAGUAACUGAAUUCUGCUAACAACCUAAAAGAGCUUGGAAGUAGAUUCUUCUUCAGAGCCUCCAGCCUGUCCAGCACCUUAAUUUCCGCCUGUGAAACUCCAAAUAGGGAACAUACCCAAGCUCACCUGGACUUCAACCAUGAGCUAAAUUGUUGUAACUUAAGAAUAAUAAAUAUGUAAUUUUAGGACAGCCCAGGUGGCUCAGCGGUUUAGUGCCACCUGCAGCCAGGGCCUGAUCCUGGAGA